UUGCGAUAAGUAAUGUGAAUUGCAGAAUUCAGUGAAUCAUCGAAUCUUUGAACGCAUCUUGCGCUCUUUGGUAUUCCGAAGAGCAUGCCUGUUUGAGUGUCAUGAAACUCUCACCUCCAGCCUUCUUUAAUUAGAGGUGUUGGGGCGUGGACGUGAGUGCUGCUGGUGCCCUGGUUGCAUCGGCUCACUUGAAAUACAUUAGCUGAAUCCUCUAGAGGUGGUUCUACUCGACGUGAUAAGAUCUCCGUCGAGGACAGUGCAACUUGUUGUGCUGGCCGCCGCUAGCAGUUGAUACGCUUCUAAUUAGCGCAGACUUCGAGUGCUGGCAACUUUUGACAACUUGGCCUCAAAUCAGGUAGGACUACCCACUGAACUUAA
rnacentral:misc_RNA from 1 species